GGAAGUUCCGCGUGUUAUUCUUUCGAUUGACAUUUACUGAUUGCUUGUCGCUUCGAGCAGUAAAUAUUGUCACGGGGAGUGCAUUACACCUAUUACACCGUCACUGUAUGGCAGGUACACGAGAAAACACCCGCCAAAUGGUACGAGGAGCGGA
rnacentral:misc_RNA from 1 species